UUUUUUUUGGUGAGCUUGUCCCUUCCUUAGGAUAAAAAUAAAAGCUUCACAGUGGUAGAAAGUAGAAAAUGAAGCACUCCUGAGUCAUAUCUCUGUCUCUUCCACCAACUCUUCUCAGAGAGAAAUGUCUGCUCUGUCCCCCUUUCACUGCUAUGUUGAUUGGAGAUGUUGUGAGGGGUAAUUAUGGAUUAGGCCAAAUUUCAUACACCAGUAAAGAUCAAUAUCUCUUCACAGACUGUACUGGGCUACUGGAACAUGAGACAAAGGAGGGUAUACGUGGGCUAUGGGGUGCCACCCAACUGCCAGGCCCAGGUGCCGUCAGGGCCUGAGCAGGCCCAGCUGGCCCUCACUGCCCACAGCCUGGGUGCCAUUUAAGCUGGGCCCUGGGGGCCUGCAGUCCCUCAGGGCUGGGUUGUUCCUCAGUGUGUUUAUAGCCCUGUCUGUCUGUGUGCCCUGGAACUGUCCCUAGGUGUCCACAGGGCUGCCUGGUGAUGGCUGGGCAAGGCAGACUUUAGGGCAUGCCUGAUGGAGCUGUAACCUGCUGCAACUUUUCAAGCCUUCUUCAGACUAGGUAGGGGCAGGCUACUGACACACUGCUAUAAGCUGUGGUGCUAGAAGGAAGGUACUUCAUACAGAAGACUUGUAACUGAAUACAGUGAGGAAGAUGUGGAAGAAACUAUGGUGCGUAUUUAUACUGCAACUCUAACAACAAAGAAAAAUGGAAAACAAAACAGCACAUUUACAAUAUGUCACCCUAAAGGAUAUCUAAGCUGAGGUAGUAAAGGCAUUCUCAAAAACACUAACAGCAGAUCACACCGGUUAAAACAAAGGCCAGAUUUAUCGUACCCCAACGAUUCAGAGUGGUGUACGCAAAGUAAUGUCACACUAUUCAAUGGCUUCCAAAUGUGUGGUCUGCUUCUGUUUUCAGCUUUUUCCUAACCUUUCUGCUUUUUCUCCUCUCUCCUUCUCCCAAACACCUCACAUUCUCUGCGUUCCAGUAUAUGAUGUUGAUCUUCCUAUUUGAAGCGUGCCUAGACAGGUGAUAAGAAAAAAUAGGCAUAACUUUUUCAUGUAUUUAAUUUUUAAAUCAUAAAAGAUUAUC